AACGAACGCUGGCGGCGUGCCUAACACAUGCAAGUCGAACGAGAAUCCGGGCUUCGGUCCGGUAGUAAAGUGGCGCACGGGUGAGUAACACGUGGGUAACGUGCCUUAUAGUGGGGGAUAACCAGGUGAAAGCUUGGCUAAUACCGCAUGAGUCCGUCGGGACGCCGGUCCUGACGGGGAAAGUGGAGCAAUCCACGCUAUGAGAUCGGCCCGCGGCCCAUUAGCUAGUUGGCGGGGUAACGGCCCACCAAGGCGACGAUGGGUAGCUGGUCUGAGAGGAUGAUCAGCCACACUGGGACUGAGACACGGCCCAGACUCCUACGGGAGGCAGCAGUGGGGAAUCUUAGACAAUGGGCGCAAGCCUGAUCUAGCCAUGCCGCGUGAGCGAUGAAGGCCUUAGGGUUGUAAAGCUCUUUCAGUGGGGAAGAUAAUGACUGUACCCACAGAAGAAGCCCCGGCUAAACUCCGUGCCAGCAGCCGCGGUAAAGUAGUCG
rnacentral:rRNA from 1 species